UUUUGAUACCAUUUACAUUUUCAUGUCUUUGAGCUUUAGUAAUGUUACCCCUUUUUAACUGAUGGGGAAGCCAAGGCAUUUUAAGGAUAAAUAAUUCAUCUGAGGUUAAGAAGUCUGUAUAAGGGGCAACGAUUUCCAAUUUGUGUUGAUGGGGGCUGAGAUGUCCCAUCUCUCAUAAUGCAAACAAGAAGUCAAGGGCCGAAUGCAAACCUAGGUUUAACCUGCAAUCAGCUAUUCCCUGUUUGUGAGCCUGAAAGUAUAGACAAAUGUACCUUUGUAGAAGCUUCUAAAAGGCAGGAGGAGGUGCAGCUCUGGACCAUGCAGAAGCUGUUACACUGUAACUGUAACAUUCACAAGCUGUAAUAUAAAGGUAGCAAAACUGCCUCAGCUUUAAUCCAGGGUCAAAGUAUCACUUGUAUUGCUACAGGAGCAUGCACUCAUAACUGUUACUGACGAGGCAUAGCAACCAGUUUUUGCAUCAGUGGGAGCUGGGCUGCCCACAGCGGUGGUCAGCAAUCCUGCAUCCCCUCUGAGUCCAGGCCUAGGACUGGUGCCCUGCUUGCCCACCAUUAGUUUAGUUGAGUUACAGCAUAACAGCUCCUGUGGUUUCUCCUCCCCUUUGGAAGCACUGCCAAUGUAAUUUUUGGUCCAUACCCUGAAAGAGACUGGCCACAAACUCUUAUUAUUUGCAGACUUUUCUCAAAAAACAAAAGACUCAAAACCAAGAAAAUGUCUUUAAUUAAAACUGGAUAAAACUGACUUCCAAAACAUUCUGCUCAAAUGAGUAGUGAUGAUUUUCAAGUCCAAAAUGAAAUUAACCCAUGCACGGCAGGAAUCAAAACAUCUGUCCACUUACUCCUGUAUGGUGACAGGCUUCUCAGAUCCAACCCACUCUUUUAGCAUUACUUUGUUGCUUAACACAUCAAAAUAUCCAUUUUUGAACAUCUACAUUGGUUAACUGGGUCAAAUGUUAAAGCCACUGUCAAAUUAAAAAUAGUCAAAGCAAAAGUGUUUACCUCUAUUAUAAAUAGGACUUUAAAAAGCAUGUACACAGACACUCAUCAUGGUCCUGUUGGAGUCUGCAAAAGAUAGUGUUCUGUGACAUGGGUGUAAGACCGUAAAUGAUGGCACUGCAUGCCUUAAUAUUUUGAGACCAGUUUACAAGGCAUGCACAGAACCUCAGCAAACUGGCACAUAUCCUUGAAUCACCACUGGAAGAAUAUUUGAUCUCCUUGGUAAAUAUGGUGUUCAGGUGAACAUUUUCUAUAUAAUUUACACUUACUUUGAGCAAUUACUGUCUGUUAAAUAAAUGCAUAUUUUUACAGUUAUUAAAUUAUUUACAUAAUGUCAUAGUUUGCAAUUGCUCCUUGGAAACUAUAACAGCUGAAUGUUGAAAAAUAUAUUCAGGCACUUUUCAAAAUAAGCAUUAUUUUUACCCAGUGGAAGGGUUCAGUCAAGUUACGCCAGUAGUUCUGCAUUGUAUUUAAAUAGUUUUAAAAUCAAACAGCUGUUAGACUGUUUGAUGAAUGAAUAGAUCAGGGCCUGAUUUUGAUUUUUCACUAGGUUUACUCUGAUAUAAAUCUUUGAGAAUAAACCUCUAGCAAUGCCUUAGCAAAGCUUGAGGUAGCAGAAGGGAGUGUGGCAAAGAUGGCUCUAAUAACGCCACUUGAAGUUUCAUUUUACUUCUCAGCAUAGAUGUUGCAGUGUUAGCCAGACAUGAUUUCCACAAAGCUAUACUCUUCAGAAUAACAAAUAAGGACCCACUCUAUGUGAUAAACUAAACACGUACAAAUUCUCACUUCGCAGCAAAGAUUUGUAUUGAUUAUGAGACAUAUGUAGAGUUCAACAAAGCAUUCAAAAUGAUGAAAUCCAGCAUCCUUUUUUUCUACACUGCUGAAAUAGAAAUGGAAAAAUAUAACCAGGCAUGUCUACACAUCACCUUACAGCAAG